rnacentral:lncRNA from 1 species
UCAAUCUAUUCUGAAAGAAAACAAAUAGGUACUCCACGUGUAAAAAAUUGUGCUUGACAUCUGAUCUGAAUCAGCAUGAAAGUCAACAAAUAUCAUUUACCCAUUCUAAUAGUCACCACUGAUAUGAUACAUAAUAAGUCAAGUGUAAAAAUCUUAUCUCUUACUAGCAAGAGAAGAAAAAACACUAGAAUACGAUGGCUGCUGCAAGUGAGGACUAAGAUCCAAGAGAUAAGUGUUGCUUUUCGAGACAUCAAAGGGUAGCAUGCCAAUAAAGCUUUAUUCUUAAUCCAAUAUUCUGUGACAUCCUCAUAGUUGCUCAUUCAGAGCCAAUUCCUUUUGAAGAGCUACACAAGAUUCGGACCAAUAUCAGACGCGCUCAUCUGCAGUGUUCAGCCGUUUCCAGAAGAAAGAAACCGCACAGAUAGUAGGGGAAGAAUCUUCCACAGAUUCAAUCUCUAAAAAGUUGAAAUUGUAUAUACCAGACUUCUUCAAACUAAAAAUGAAAACAAGAACUAUCCAGCCCAGUAGUUGUACAUGUGGUGCCCGGGGUCCUGUACAGGAGCAGCAGCCUCGACAGCAAGCACAACAAAGAGCAGCAGCACUUGCGAGAGAAACUGCCAAGGUGAGCCUUCACUGAUCUGGACCAGCUGAGCAGCAGAGAAAGAGUGGUAAGAGACACCUGUAUUGGUUUGUAUCCUUAUUUUUUUGUUUUGUUCAUUGUGUUUAAGCUCAUCUGGUGGUUUCUUGCCGCACUGCAUUGAAGGGUAAGAGCAGGGCAAUGUUAACAGUAGGCAGUAAGAAGACCAACACAUGAAUGAAGCAGCAGGGGCCACGAUGGUAAGUGCAUUGGAAGUAAGACUUCUGCAGGCUUGGUUGGCGACGUGCAUCAGGUGGCACUCGGCAACAAACACAUCAGAAGGGGGGGAGGGGGCAGUUGAGGCUAUGAAACGACACCAGUUUGCCUACAGCAAUAAAGUGCAACAGCAACACUCCAUUGCGCAAAAGUAGCAGCACUCCGAGGUCCGCGGCAGUAGGUAGCAGCAAGAACAACAACAUGAUGCAAGGGACAAGAGCUGUGGGGUGGUCCUGCCUUCUCAAGAGGGAUCAAUGUGCCCAGCCUGUAAGACCAAUGUUCAACAGAAAACACCAGAUCAAAGCAGACAAAGUCCAUAAAAUACAAUUUAGGGGAACGGCUCAACCACACUCAACACGAUGAGAAAAAUCAAUUUAAAUCACAAAUUUACAAAACCAAAAUCCAUACAACCAUUCAACCAUCUUCAUUCGAAACGACAAAUGUAAGAGGGGGAAAGGUAACAUAAGUUCGCAGAUCAAUCUAACAGAAAAUUAUGAGAACAAACCCCCACCAAACAAGCAAGGAGAGGGAAAAAAAAUGCGCUGCGACCAAUUUCAUCUAAUCCAAGGCCAAUGCAAAUACAUUACAAAAUCUAAAUAAACAAAAUCACAAAAUAACGCCGCAACCCUAGCCUCCCUCCGACGGAUCAUCGAGAAAGCGACGCAACGCAACAAAGCCUCACCUUAAUGGAUCGAUGCGAUCGAUAACAA